rnacentral:rRNA from 1 species
GGCAUAGGUGGCAAACGUUAUCCGGAAUUAUUGGGCGUAAAGGGCGCGUAGGCGGCCUGGCAAGUGGAUGGUGAAAUCCCUCGGCUUAACCGAGGAACUGCCAUCCAGACUGCUUGGCUUGAGACCGGGAGAGGUGAGUGGAAUUCCCAGUGUAGCGGUGAAAUGCGUAGAUAUUGGGAGGAACACCAGUGGCGAAGGCGGCUCACUGGACCGGUACUGACGCUGAUGCGCGAAAGCGUGGGGAGCAAACGGG